rnacentral:rRNA from 1 species
UUAAGCGACUAAGCGUACACGGUGGAUGCCCUGGCAGUCAGAGGCGAUGAAGGACGUGCUAAUCUGCGAUAAGCGUCGGUAAGGUGAUAUGAACCGUUAUAACCGGCGAUUUCCGAAUGGGGAAACCCAGUGUGAUUCGUCACACUAUCAUUAACUGAAUCCAUAGGUUAAUGAGGCGAACCGGGGGAACUGAAACAUCUAAGUACCCCGAGGAAAAGAAAUCAACCGAGAUUCCCCCAGUAGCGGCGAGCGAACGGGGAGCAGCCCAGAGCCUGAAUCAGUGUGUGUGUUAGUGGAAGCGUCUGGAAAGGCGUGCGAUACAGGGUGACAGCCCCGUACACAAAAAUGCACAUGCUGUGAGCUCGAUGAGUAGGGCGGGACACGUGGUAUCCUGUCUGAAUAUGGGGGGACCAUCCUCCAAGGCUAAAUACUCCUGACUGACCGAUAGUGAACCAGUACCGUGAGGGAAAGGCGAAAAGAACCCCGGCGAGGGGAGUGAAAAAGAACCUGAAACCGUGUACGUACAAGCAGUGGGAGCACGCUUAGGCGUGUGACUGCGUACCUUUUGUAUAAUGGGUCAGCGACUUAUAUUCUGUAGCAAGGUUAACCGAAUAGGGGAGCCGAAGGGAAACCGAGUCUUAACUGGGCGUUAAGUUGCAGGGUAUAGACCCGAAACCCGGUGAUCUAGCCAUGGGCAGGUUGAAGGUUGGGUAACACUAACUGGAGGACCGAACCGACUAAUGUUGAAAAAUUAGCGGAUGACUUGUGGCUGGGGGUGAAAGGCCAAUCAAACCGGGAGAUAGCUGGUUCUCCCCGAAAGCUAUUUAGGUAGCGCCUCGUGAAUUCAUCUCCGGGGGUAGAGCACUGUUUCGGCAAGGGGGUCAUCCCGACUUACCAACCCGAUGCAAACUGCGAAUACCGGAGAAUGUUAUCACGGGAGACACACGGCGGGUGCUAACGUCCGUCGUGAAGAGGGAAACAACCCAGACCGCCAGCUAAGGUCCCAAAGUCAUGGUUAAGUGGGAAACGAUGUGGGAAGGCCCAGACAGCCAGGAUGUUGGCUUAGAAGCAGCCAUCAUUUAAAGAAAGCGUAAUAGCUCACUGGUCGAGUCGGCCUGCGCGGAAGAUGUAACGGGGCUAAACCAUGCACCGAAGCUGCGGCAGCGACGCUUAUGCGUUGUUGGGUAGGGGAGCGUUCUGUAAGCCUGCGAAGGUGUGCUGUGAGGCAUGCUGGAGGUAUCAGAAGUGCGAAUGCUGACAUAAGUAACGAUAAAGCGGGUGAAAAGCCCGCUCGCCGGAAGACCAAGGGUUCCUGUCCAACGUUAAUCGGGGCAGGGUGAGUCGACCCCUAAGGCGAGGCCGAAAGGCGUAGUCGAUGGGAAACAGGUUAAUAUUCCUGUACUUGGUGUUACUGCGAAGGGGGGACGGAGAAGGCUAUGUUGGCCGGGCGACGGUUGUCCCGGUUUAAGCGUGUAGGCUGGUUUUCCAGGCAAAUCCGGAAAACUAAGGCUGAGGCGUGAUGACGAGGCACUACGGUGCUGAAGCAACAAAUGCCCUGCUUCCAGGAAAAGCCUCUAAGCAUCAGGUAACAUCAAAUCGUACCCCAAACCGACACAGGUGGUCAGGUAGAGAAUACCAAGGCGCUUGAGAGAACUCGGGUGAAGGAACUAGGCAAAAUGGUGCCGUAACUUCGGGAGAAGGCACGCUGAUAUGUAGGUGAAGUCCCUCGCGGAUGGAGCUGAAAUCAGUCGAAGAUACCAGCUGGCUGCAACUGUUUAUUAAAAACACAGCACUGUGCAAACACGAAAGUGGACGUAUACGGUGUGACGCCUGCCCGGUGCCGGAAGGUUAAUUGAUGGGGUUAGCGCAAGCGAAGCUCUUGAUCGAAGCCCCGGUAAACGGCGGCCGUAACUAUAACGGUCCUAAGGUAGCGAAAUUCCUUGUCGGGUAAGUUCCGACCUGCACGAAUGGCGUAAUGAUGGCCAGGCUGUCUCCACCCGAGACUCAGUGAAAUUGAACUCGCUGUGAAGAUGCAGUGUACCCGCGGCAAGACGGAAAGACCCCGUGAACCUUUACUAUAGCUUGACACUGAACAUUGAGCCUUGAUGUGUAGGAUAGGUGGGAGGCUUUGAAGUGUGGACGCCAGUCUGCAUGGAGCCGACCUUGAAAUACCACCCUUUAAUGUUUGAUGUUCUAACGUUGACCCGUAAUCCGGGUUGCGGACAGUGUCUGGUGGGUAGUUUGACUGGGGCGGUCUCCUCCUAAAGAGUAACGGAGGAGCACGAAGGUUGGCUAAUCCUGGUCGGACAUCAGGAGGUUAGUGCAAUGGCAUAAGCCAGCUUGACUGCGAGCGUGACGGCGCGAGCAGGUGCGAAAGCAGGUCAUAGUGAUCCGGUGGUUCUGAAUGGAAGGGCCAUCGCUCAACGGAUAAAAGGUACUCCGGGGAUAACAGGCUGAUACCGCCCAAGAGUUCAUAUCGACGGCGGUGUUUGGCACCUCGAUGUCGGCUCAUC